rnacentral:rRNA from 1 species
AACGAACGCUGGCGGCAUGCCUAACACAUGCAAGUCGAACGAGACCUUCGGGUCUAGUGGCGCACGGGUGCGUAACGCGUGGGAACCUGCCCUUAGGUUCGGAAUAACUCCCCGAAAGGGGUGCUAAUACCGGAUAAUGUCUUCGGACCAAAGAUUUAUCGCCUUUGGAUGGGCCCGCGUUGGAUUAGCUAGUUGGUAGGGUAAAAGCCUACCAAGGCGACGAUCCAUAGCUGGUCUGAGAGGAUGAUCAGCCACACUGGGACUGAGACACGGCCCAGACUCCUACGGGAGGCAGCAGUGGGGAAUAUUGGACAAUGGGCGAAAGCCUGAUCCAGCAAUGCCGCGUGAGUGAUGAAGGCCUUAGGGUGGUAAAGCUCUUUUACCCGGGAUGAUAAUGACAGUACCGGGAGAAUAAGCUCCGGCGAACUCCGU